rnacentral:rRNA from 1 species
CGACCCCAGGUACAGACGGG